CUGUACCAGAAGAGCAGAUCAGAGACUAUCCCUUUAUUACACAAAUCCUCAUGGCCCAGUAUGCGGUCACCCCCGAGCAAUACCGCCGAAAGUUUAGGGAGACCUGGAAAGGGGAGAAGGACUCUCAUGCGGAAUGGGCAUGCCGCAUCACAAGGACCACCCUCCAUCCCUACCUAUUAGUGAAGAUCCGUUCGGUAGAGUAGCUGUCGACAUUAUAGUUGCGCAGGCACUUUGUUGACUCUAGAGAACCUCGGGCCAAUCGCACGUCCCCGUGACGGCGACUUUGCAUUCAGAUGUCUGCCCUAUCAACUUUCGAUGCCACUUUCUGCGCCUACCAUGGUGACCAUGGGUAACAGGGAAUCGGGGUUGGAUUCCUGAGAGGGAACCUGAAAAAUGGCUACCACAUCCAAGGAAGGCAGCAGGCGCGCAAAUUACCCACUCCCGACACGGGGAGGUAGUGAUGACAAAUAACAAUACAGGACUCUUUAAAGGCCCUUUAAUUGUAAUGAGUCCACUUUAAAUCCUUUAACUAUGAUCAAUUGGAGGGCAAGUCUGCAGCUGAAACUCCACU